rnacentral:rRNA from 1 species
UUUAAUCAUUAAUUUAUGUUUNGUUGAUCCAUAACUUAUGAUCAUAAGAUUAAGUUACCUUAGGGAUAACAGCGUAAUUGUUUUAGAGAGCUCAUAUCGAUAAAUCAGAUUGCGAAANUCGAUGUUGGAUUAAGAUAAGUUUUGGGUGCAGUAGCUCGCU